CAAAUAACGACCUUAUCUGGAUGUUCGUCGCCUUUUUGGCGUUCAUUGAAGUACUGAACAUCUUGAUACUCGUGCGAGUCAUAAGGGAGAUGACCACAAUGGUGCAGCCAACAGGGGGAGACAACCAUGCACAGCAAAUACGACUUGGUAUCAAGGCCUGCCUGGUAAUGAUUCCCCUUCUGGGUGUCACGUGGCUGUUUGGUCUUCUCUCGCCUGUAAACAAGGUUUUCGC